AAUCCUACGGGAGGCAGCAGUGAGGAAUAUUGGUCAAUGGGCGGAAGCCUGAACCAGCCAAGUCGCGUGAGGGAUUAAGGCCCUAUGGGUCGUAAACCUCUUUUGUCAGGGAGCAAUGGCGUCCACGUGUGGGCGUAUGGAGAGUACCUGAAGAAAAAGCAUCGGCUAACUCCGUGCCAGCAGCCGCGGUAAUACGGAGGAUGCGAGCGUUAUCCGGAUUUAUUGGGUUUAAAGGGUGCGUAGGCGGGCUUUUAAGUCAGCGGUAAAAAUUCGGGGCUCAACCCCGUCCGGCCGUUGAAACUGGG
rnacentral:rRNA from 1 species